UACGUAGGUGGCAAGCGUUGUCCGGAAUUAUUGGGCGUAAAGCGCGCGCAGGUGGUUUCUUAAGUCUGAUGUGAAAGCCCACGGCUCAACCGUGGAGGGUCAUUGGAAACUGGGGAACUUGAGUGCAGAAGAGGAAAGUGGAAUUCCAAGUGUAGCGGUGAAAUGCGUAGAUAUCUGGAGGAACACCGGUGGCGAAGGCGGCAUCCUGGACCAACACUGACGCUGAGGAGCGAAAGCCAGGGGAGCAAACGGG
rnacentral:rRNA from 1 species